UUCCGGUUGAUCCUGCCGGACCUGACUGCUAUCGGAUUGAUACUAAGCCAUGCGAGUCAUUGUAGCAAUACAAGGCAGACGGCUCAGUAACGCGUAGUCAACCUACCAUAUGGACGGGAAUAACCCCGGGAAACUGAGUAUAAUGCCCGAUAGAACACUAUACCUGGAAUGGUUUGUGUUUCAAAUGAUUUAUCGCCAUAGGAUGGGACUGCGGCCUAUCAGUUUGUUGGUGAGGUAAUGGCCCACCAAGACUAUUACAGGUACGGGCUCUGAGAGGAGUGGCCCGGAGAUGGGUACUGAGACACGGACCCAGGCCCUAUGGGGCGCAGCAGGCGAGAAAACUUUGCAAUGUGCGAAAGCACGACAAGGUUAAUCCGAGUGGUUUGUGCUAAACGAACCUUUUGUCAGUCCUAGAAACACUAACGAAUAAGGGGUGGGCAAGUUCUGGUGUCAGCCGCCGCGGUAAAACCAGCACCUCAAGUGGUCAGGAUGAUUAUUGGGCCUAAAGCAUCCGUAGCCGGCUCUGUAAGUUUUCGGUUAAAUCUGUACGCUUAACGUACAGGCUGCCGGGAAUACUGCAGAGCUAGGGAGUGGGAGAGGUAGACGGUACUCGGUAGGAAGGGGUAAAAUCCUUUGAUCUAUCGAUGACCACCUGUGGCGAAGGCGGUCUACCAGAACACGUCCGACGGUGAGGGAUGAAAGCUGGGGGAGCAAACCGGAUUAGAUACCCGGGUAGUCCCAGCUGUAAACUAUGCAAACUCAGUGAUGCAUUGACUUGUGGUCAAUGCAGUGCUGCAGGGAAGCCGUUAAGUUUGCCGCCUGGGAAGUACGUACGCAAGUAUGAAACUUAAAGGAAUUGGCGGGGGAGCACCACAAGGGGUGAAGCCUGCGGUUCAAUUGGAUUCAACGCCGGG
rnacentral:rRNA from 1 species